rnacentral:rRNA from 1 species
CCUACGGGAUGCACCAGUCGAGGACCUUCGUCAAUGGGGGCAACCCUGAACGAGCGAUGCCGCGUGCGCGACGAAGGCCUUCGGGUUGUAAAGCGCGAAGGUGGGGAGAAAACCCGAAAGGGCUGAUCGAUCCACAGUAAGCUCGGGCUAAGUUCGUGCCAGCAGCCGCGGUAAGACGAACCGAGCGAACGUUGUUCGGAAUCACUGGGCUUAAAGGGCGCGUAGGCGGGCUGUCAAGUCUGGGGUGAAAUCCCGCGGCUCAACCGCGGAACCGCCUCGGAUACUGACGGCCUCGAGGGGGGUAGGGGCGGGCGGAACUGAUGGUGGAGCGGUGAAAUGCGUUGAUAUCAUCAGGAACUCCGGUGGCGAAGGCGGCCCGCUGGACCCCAUCUGACGCUGAGGCGCGAAAGCCAGGGGAGCAAACGGGAUUAGAUACCCCCGUAGUC